GAUGAACGCUGGCGGCGUGCCUAAUACAUGCAAGUCGAGCGAACAGACGAGGAUCUUGCUCCUCUGACGUUAGCGGCGGACGGGUGAGUCACACGUGGAUAACCUACCUAUAAGACUGGUAUAACUUCGGGAAACCGGAGCUACUACCGGAUAAUAUAUUGAACCGCAUGGUUCAAUAGUGAAAGACGGUUUUGCUGUCACUUAUCGAUGGAUCCGCGCCGCAUUAGCUAGUUGGUAAGGUAACGGCUUACCAAGGCAACGAUGCGUAGCCGACCUGAGAGGGGGAUCGGCCACACUGGAACUGAGACACGGUCCAGACUCCUACGGGAGGCAGCAGUAGGGAAUCUUCCGCAAUGGGCGAAAGCUUGACGGAGCAACGCCGCGUGAGUGAUGAAGGUCUUCGGAUCGUAAAACUCUGUUAUUAGGGAAGAACAAAUGUGUAAGUAACUAUGCACGUCUUGACGGUACCUAAUCAGAAAGCCACGGCUAACUACGUG
rnacentral:rRNA from 1 species